GGGCUUUGUUUGCGCAGGAUAGGUGGGAGGCGAUGAAAAUUUUCUUGCGGGAAGAUUGGAGCCGUUGGUGAGAUACCACUCUAACAAUGCUAGGAUUCUAACCCUACACCGUUAUCCGGUUAGGGGACAGUUUCAGGUGGUCAGUUUGACUGGGGCGGUCGCCUCCCAAAAGGUAACGGAGGCGUGCAAAGGUUUCCUCAGGCUGGUCGGAAAUCAGUCGUAGAGUGUAAAGGCAUAAGGAAGCUUGAUUGUGAGACCUACAAGUCGAACAAAGACGAAAGUCGGCCUUAGUGAUCCGACGGUUCCGAGUGGAAGGGCCGUCGCUCAACGGAUAAAAGUUACUCUAGGGAUAACAGGCUGAA
rnacentral:rRNA from 1 species